GGCCGCCAAGGGGGGCGCUCGCGCCUCCACUCCCUGCUCUCAAAGGAGAGAUCAGCUGGCGCGCCGGACCCUCGCGGGGACUCUGGAGGCGAAAUCCAGGACAAAUGCAGGAGGCAGGCGAUUAGCAGCUCAGAGGAAGGUAAAAUAACGCACUGUGUGAACCAAGCAUACAGGACAAUUCCAGUUUGGGACCUUGGAACCUUCUACUCCACCCUCUUCCACCAGGCCCCCAAGAAGUAGGGCUGUGACACGUGGCCAAGUCACUCCUCAGCUGAAUAUUCACUGAAGUCACUCCUCAGCCGAAAUAUUGCUCAGAGCUGCUGCGCGAGAUGGCUGCCCUCUUGUGGUGGAAAUGAGUUCGAACGCUUGAAAGAAAGAAGUCCAUAAAUAAAUAAAUAAAUAAAUAAAUAAAUAAAUAAAUAAA